ACUAGGUGUAUUAGCCAUAGUGCUUGGAUUGGUAGCCCCAAUAACGCUUGCUGCCUCGGAUAUGAAUUGAAACUCGUCGUGAAGUUUCUCGCAACUGUUGCAGACGCUGAUGGUGGAAAUCUUAGUUGCAUAACUGUCACGCGAACAUACGGACACUUUUCUAAAGGAUCUUCCUAAUGUACCGCAAGGAGUUGAACUUGUCGUGUUUACAUUACUUAUGGACGAUGAUCUGCUAUGCCUCGAACAGCUGCUACCAAGAAGUCUGAUAAUAGCAUUUUUAUGGGAUAAUUCUUCUUCCUUAUUUCUAUUCAUGCCUGACUCAUCCGCCGUUUGUUCGAAUUCUUCGUUCUAAAAGGAAAUUAUUCUUCGAUGAGAAAAUGAAAAUUUUUUUCGUACGAAUAGAUAGGGAAAAAGAAUAAAUCAAUUCACCAUUGGAACUUCGAGUUCUUCUUCGUUCUGCUUGAUCGUUAUUUCAUUGAUUAAAACUGACUGAUUGUUGGCACAUCCACAGGCACCCUCGCAAGCACAUCCACUUUGCGAAUUAUCGACGACAUCGACUUGACGGUCCUUGUCUUCGUCUGUUCCUACGCCUUCUCCUGUCUCCUGCGAGUCUCCGUUGAUGUCGAUCGAUGCAUUCUGAGAGCUGUUCGGCUGUGGAGCAGAGUAAUCGGUCGCGCAGCUCGGACACGAAGCAAUGUAGUCCUGGAGAUACGCACCGAGGACUUCAGCGUCGAGCGAUGAAGAAGGAUUUUUCAUCUGUGUUAUUUCAUUCUCGUUAUUAGAUGGCUGGGAUCGAGAGAAGUCACAACUUUUUCGUAACCAGGCACGGCGACAUCUUUUUCUUCCAAUAAUCUCAAUUUCUCCUAUAUAUCCAUUAUUUAAUCAUUAAUUCGUUCAAUCAGCUUUUCAAUUUGUUAACUUUUAAUAUAUAGCUUACCCGAUCCAGUAGAAGAAGAAGAAGGUAUCUCUGAAAUAUUAAGACUUCUCCCGAUUGAUCCCGGAGGAGUAACGUACGGUGGUGGUGGACUCUCGGGAACCUUUGGAUUCCUCGUAGUAGAGGUCAUUGUUUGAUUACAACGACUUGUACUGGCUCCCUCUACUACUAGAUACAUGGAUGACUGUGGCUCUUGCUCGUGUCUCGAAUAUAAACGUAAGAAAUGAGACGUUAAACGUGAAAUGUCAGGCAAGACAAGAACGAACUCAAAAAGACGACGACAAACUCACGAACAUCGACUUGGCGAAUUUCUACUUCGUGGCUCGCAACUGAAGCUUCUCUUCUUUCGUCUAUUACCGUCGGAUUCUAAGCUCAACUUGACAACUUCGUCGUAUCCAGGUGGUGCUUCGUAAACCGGUGGAUCAUCCGUCACUGAGAUUUCAUCGAUCCUUGCUCCGUCUGUAAUGUCAAAGACUGCUCGAAGUAACAUAAAUGAUAAUCUAUGUUUCCGUGGUAAUUAUCAAACACGUACCUAGGAGCUCACUGAUAGUCUGUAAACGUGAUUGUAGUUCUCUCUGUUGUCUAGCUCUGGCACCCAUUCUGUAUAAUAAUAUAAUAAGGGCCGAUAUCAGAACUAUCAAGCCAAGGCUACUCGCAACGAAGACCAAUGUAGCUGUUUUUAAAUCAGGGUAACGAUCGAUCUUUGGGAAAUAAUAAUUCGCUUUAUUCGUGUGCCAUUUUCUAUCCUGUGGUUCAACGUCCCAAUCUAUAGGCAAACGAUUAUAUUUGGAACAAAUUGGUAUUAGUUCAAAAGAUAUAACCGGAUCUAACUAGAGUCGACGUUACCUCUGUAACAUGUAGCCGGUUCGUCACUGUUGUCUCCGCAAUGAUCGAAUCCGUCACAAUUAAGUUGGCUCGGUAUGCAUCUGUGAUUUUGACACAGAAAGUCGGAGCCCGUGAAGCAAUCUAUUUAUUAUAAAAUCAAUCGAUAUUUAUCUCCUUCCUUUUUUUCGUUUCCUUCGUAUUCGAGAAACCGAAAUAAACAUACCCAUGUAACUGAAGGCUGUGUAAGCUAUAGCUAGAUGCGAUGUAGAACCAAAAGUACCACGAAGGCUCACGUGAAAUCCACUGGUAACAGGAGCGAUGUGUUCUCUGUGUCUAAGUGGUUGUAAUUGGCUCACAGGAUGUCUUAAAACUUCCAAAGGUAAAAGAGCUGAUGUUGGUCCUUGCUUUAUAGUCAAUUCCGUGUUUCCAGCUGUCAAGUAAUUUUUUUCUUCUCAAUAUUAGAAUAAAUCAGAUUAGAUUUCAAAUGUCUUACCCAUGUCUGCGAAGGUAACCACUUUUAAAUACAUAUGAGUCUUCAUGUGAAGAAAAUUCUUAGGUGGUCUGAUAAGCCACACGCAAUCGUAAGUUUUUACACCUUGACCUACCAUGUCCAUCAUAGUGAUAGCCCCACCCAAAUUUUCCACGUAUCCUCCACAAUCUGUUAUAGGAUGAAUUGACUUGUCGUAAAGAUGACCGAUAACGAAGGAAUAAAAGGCUUUGUAUCCCAGGCCAGUACCACCAUUAGCGUAGAAUCUUAUCAAAAGAGAGGGUCCGGAACUUACUAUCACCGGUGGACGAAAUCUUGCACCACUGCUGACAUCAAGUCGUUGACCGUUCCAAUCGUAAAACUACGGACACAUGAAAUAUAAAAAAAAAAAAAACACGCAACUUUAAGAUCGAACAAUUUCAAUGUCCAACGAAAAAUACUUAGUACAUAGGAAGUACUCUACGUACUUCCAUGAUAGAAACCGUAGCUAAUUGGAAAUCGCUGAACAACAAUCUGACCCGACAUGAUGGAGCUUCGGAGGGACAUGUUAUUAGGUAUUCCAAACCUAAAUCUCGUGGAUAUCGAGCCGGAAAAAAUGGUGACGUAAGAAUACCUCCACCUGUACUAUUCAGACCUUUCGUAACUGAUGUCAUCAUUUCCGUUCCUUUAAGGUGUAGCCUGUUUCCUAGGGGUGAAAAAAGAAAUAUAUAUUAGAUCUCUUUAACGAAGAUAUUAUUUUAUAAUAGGACAGAUUACUUUUACAGAUCCUUACUUUCGGCCGUAUAUUCCAGGGUAAAAGCAUGCUUAUGCGAUUGACUGUAGAGCAAAGUAAUAGAUAGCGUUCUGGUACUCGAUCUGUACAUGAUAGGUGAAUAUAAACCGCAGUAAGGUGUACCUGAAACGUCUUCAUAUGGUGGCUCGGAAAUCCAAACGUAAUCACAUCUGUGGAUCAUUCGUUGGCAUAGAGAAAGGUUUGUCGUUGAAAAAGAAAAUAAAAAGGAUAAUCAAUGAAAACGUUUAAAUAUCAUCUCUAUACCUGCAUGGAUUAUCCAUCAUAACACCACCAUCGCCGCAAUGAUGCGACAAUGCAAUAUUCUUGAAUGUAACUAUUAUAACGCAUGACGGACAGGUUACUAAUUCGAGACUGCAUUGAUCAUGGGAACUAUUUGUCGCAUAAAUUCUUGAUGUCUGUUGUCUAGGUGCAUUUUUUAUAAAGGAUACAUUUUUAGCAUAAAGAAUACCCUUUUCGCCUAAUUCAAGAUAUAAACGCCUGCCAUUGUGUGUUCCACAAAUAUCCUCAUUCCUCACAACGUUACCGUAAAUCACGGUGAACCAGCAGAAUAUGAUGAUUGUCACUUUAAUUAGAGAGAAAAAAAAAAGAAAAAGGAAAGAAAACAAAAAGGAGAAUAUCAAAGAGAACGAUCGAUAAAAUUUGCUUCUCGUCAAACAUUUCUAUUCGAAUUUCCCGGGGUUUCGUUUACGCGCGCGAAUGAUCUUUUAAAAUUCGUACAAAAAUUUGCAUUCUUCGAGGACUUAAUAAAUUGUAAUAAAAUAAAUUUAAUACUUACCAUAUCGAGCCUGAUACAUAUUCGUCCAACGGAAAGAAACGUUCUGCUCGGCAAGAAACCCAACAUGAUUGCAUAUAAUUUCGUUAGCUCGCAAUUCUGUUACGUACUGUCCUAUUAGGGUAUAAAGCAUUUUUACGGCAUCUUCUGUGCGACUAACAUACUCUUCUCUAGCAGUUUUAUCGUCAGUAUAACAUAAUGGUAUAUAGCCCUACGUAACAAGUUAGAUAUCAAAUAUGUAUAUAAAGAACAUUAAUGUCGAAAUAAGCGCCGGGAUGGAUGAACAUUGAUUAGAAACGUUCUUUCAUUGAAAAUCGAUUUCACUUAUGUAAGAAUUAUGAACUUUGAUAUUUAUCUAACGAGUAAAAGAAACAUUAAUGAAUUUAUUCUUCACAAAGAGAGAUAGGUGACAUGCGAUAACGUAGAAUCUAUAUCUGUAUAUAAUAUCUGUAUUCAUUUUCGUAAAGUAGAAAUGAUAAACUUGAUAUAUUGAGAAAAAAAAAAAAAAAAAAAAAAAAAAAAAAAAAAAAAAAAAGAAAAAAAUCCAACCGUACAAUCCAGCUAACAGAUAAACAUCCUUCAACUUUUAUUGUGAUCUAAAAGAAUUUAACUUUAGUAUUGAAUAUACCGCGCGAGGAUUCAUGGCUGGCUUACGUCGUUUAAACGUCAGGUCGUAGUAAACUAUAAUGAAUCCUGAUUUGUUGACGAAUGUAAUAUCCGAAUCCACCCCAAGCUCGCCAGAAAUGGAUCUCACUAUAAAUCCAGAAAGGCAGAGAUUUCCCUUUUGCAUUGUUUGGACUCCAUUGCCUAUUAUAACUUAUUUAAUACCAUUUAUUGGUCAUAUGGGAAUUUGCACAUCGACUGGUGUAAUCAGGGAUUUUGCUGGUCCUUAUCAUGUAGCUGAAGAUCAUAUGGCAUUUGGUAAACCCAUUAAAUAUUGGCAACUUCAAUAUACAAAAGCGAAAGGUGGUGUGCAAGGAUGGGAUAUGGCCGUAUCAGAGGCCAGUGAAAUUUAUAAAACCAGGAUGCAUAAUUUAUUCUUCGAUAAUUGUCACUCACAUGUUGCAAAAGCUUUAAACUUAAUGGCUUAUGAUAAUUCUACAAACUGGAACAUGGUAAAACUAGCAGCUUUUAUUUUGGUAAAAGGAAAAUAUGUAAAUUUUUAUGGUUUUCUCAAAAAUUGGUUGCCAUUUUUUAUACUUGUCAUCAUUAUAAUGAUUCUUGAUAUGGUUUUUAAUUUAUAAUUUAUAUUUAUAAUUAUAAUUGCAAUAAUAUUGAUAAAUAACAAUAAAUGUUAGUAAUUUUGUUAUAUAUAGAAUUUUAUAGGAAUGCCAGAAUUGUGAAUAAGGAUUUGUAAUUCUUUUAUUACAUUUUUUAGUACACUCGCAAAUAAUUAAUAUCAAACUACAAAAAAGUAAUAUGUGUAAAUAUGUAUGUAUAAUAUUUAUUUCUAAAAAAGUUUUAUGACUGCAGUAAGUUAAAUGUUAAAAUGUUAAUACUUAACACUUUUCUCAAAAUAUUCCUUUUUAUCUAAUAUUACGGUUAAUAAUUAAAUUCUUUGCAACAAGCUAAUAGUUUAUUUUAAAAUAAUUUUUUAAUAUUUUAUAUGUAUUUGAUUACAUUAAGUAAUGGCAUUUAAUCAUCAUCAACAAUGAUAAAUAUACAACUUGUAAACAAUAUUUACAAUGACACACAUGCUGUUUAUAUAACUAUUAAAUAUCAAGAAUAUGUCCUUGUGCACAGUUUGUGUCAUGUAUCUGCCUACAAGUUUCUUCCUGAGCACGUAAGGAAAUAUAAGUAUCAUUAUACAUUGCAAGCUUGGCAGCAGAAAUAUGGUUUAAACAUAUGAUUAAUAUGUUAAUACUUUUUCUGUCAACAUUUCCUAAGAUAUACAUUGUCACUAACUAAAACUAUUUUAAUUAUAUUUAAUAGAGCCAUAUACCUGGAAAUUUAUCUAUUCCAAAUUCACAAAGUAUUACAUCAUAAUUACAUAUAAGCAAUAAAUAUACAAAAGAAAAAAAAAAAAUAGGUAAAGCAAUUACUUUUAAGUUAACGUGUAUUCUCUAAACAAUAUUGAAAUAUCAAAAUUCAUUAUAACAUAUGUAAUAAUAGAUAAACGAUAUUUUAUCUGUUUUAUAUAUUUAGAAAACAAAAUCGCUUUUUGCCUAUAAAUAUUUAGAUAACAUUUAUUGAUUACUCAUCAUUAGUGCUAUUCAUUUCCGUAAUGACACUCUUUUCAUGUGAAAAAUCAUAAUCUAAAUUUUGCUCCUCUAUUCUUUGGAUAAAAGAUAAAAUUUCAUUUGCACGUAACCUAUCAAUCUCAAAAUCAUUCAUAUUACUCUCCAACUGUUUACAUAAUUUGAAUGGUACUCCACUUAAAUAAUGUUGCAUAUCCCCUUGCUGAUUUUGUUUAGUUGAAUUUGUAGGUAGUGUAGGAUAAGUUGAAGCGUCAUUUAUAAGUGGAUAUAGGCCACCACCAGGAUAAGGUAUUCCAUCCUGAGAAUUUGGAGGUACAGGAUACAUUUGUCUUUCAAUAUUUACAAAUUCAUUUUCUAUGCUAGUAGAUGUAAGAUCUUCAGUCGAUUCAACUGGUGAUUCCUUCUGAUGUUUCUUUUUGCCAAAAAACCAAGACAUCGUCUGCAAAUAAUUUGAAUGAGACUUUGAUAAAAAGGGAGAACAAAAGAAAAAAAAAAACGAAAAAUAAUAAUCAUUAUAAAUUAUAAAUGUAAUAUCGAACAUAAAUAGCAUUCCAUGUCAACAUGCUAAUAUGAAAAUUAUAAACCGUACAUAUAUACGUCGUAGAAUAUUCUCAUUGAAUUAACGAAAGAAGUAUAAAUUAUUACUCACGUGUUGAAACUGGAAAAAAAAAAGAACAAUAACAAUAACGAAAAAGGAACUCGACUUAAAGGUUCGUUCUUAAAAAACUGACCAUACUACGUUUUUACUUUAGUGGACUAAUCUUAACGAGUCGAGGAAAUUCUCGAUAAAAUUUAUCGUAUGUUCUUAUCUAUCAUAACCUCUUGUCGUUACCGUUCAAUAUAGUUUUUUAAAAGUUACAACUCUAUCAAACAAAGAGAGGCACAUAUGUCAAAAGUCAAAGUAGUAUUGUAAGAUGACGACACCAUGAUCAAUUCAAAAAUAUAUAUAUAACUAUAAUACAUAUAUGCAUUUGCUACUAGCGACGCCAUUUAUUUCAAGGUAAACGAUAAAGAAGAAAUUGAUAGCGUUUCGUUCACGAUAAUAUCUAUCGUUUAUAUAAUCACAUAAUUCUCGCAAUCUCAUUUUUAAAAUAAUUAAAAACAAUUUUGAUAUAUAUAUAUAUAUAUAUAUAUAUAAAGAUUAAAAAAUCUACGAACGAGAUAUGAACUUUACGACGAUACGUAUUAGAAAAUUCAAAUCAACGCGCGUAAAUAAGAACUGUUCUCUAAUUGGAGGAAGUAUUGUAUAUAAUAUUCGAAUACCAUAUGGUAUUCGGUAUAAGGGAAUUACUAGUCGUCCAAUAGAUGGCGCUUUCUCGUUUUGCGGUACAUCGAGUGAUACUUUGGUUGACGCUAAAGAAUCAUCGUUAUCGUCAUCUAUUUCGUUUCGUUUACGUCGCGCGUUGUUUCUGUAUUGGCUUUCGAGCUCGUAAACACUCGAGAACAUACGUAAUAAUCGUGUCCCGGGAACUAUCAGGAGACAAUCUCGUGAUAGAAAGAGAAGUGCGAUGGAAUUACGUUUGUCCGUUGUUUUAUUUUCGGUGAUGGUAAAAAUUUCAUGGACAAGCGUGAGUCGAUAACGUAGAAUGGAUAUUUUGUUCGGACGAUCGAUCAACGGCCAUCAUCGUUCAACCUUUCCUUUGGAUCGAGCACGAUUUUAACAAAAAGUUUCAGGAGGAGAUAGAAAAUUAUUGCCAUUAAGAGAGAAAAUAAAAGGAUUGCGUUUCAUUAAGAUCAUUUGGAAAACUUGCUGUGCAAGCUCUCCCACGAAUGCUUCUCGUAUUCCCUCCAAUCGUCAUCAUACGCGAUAAGCUUAAUCUGUACAGUGUCAUUAACGCUAGAGUAAUGUAUACACGUAUAUGCAUAUAUAUGUAUAUAUAUGCAUAUAUGCAUAUGUGUGUGUGUGUGUGUGUGUGUGUGUGUGUGUAUAUAUAUAUAUUCUGAUUACUCGUUGAUUUCUAUGAAUUGGCAUGCAAAAAACAAAGGGUCACUGAUAAGAAUGCUUCCUGAAGUGGUAGACCACAACCCACGGACUUCCGACGGGUAGCAAAUGUACAUUUUUUAAUCCAUUCAGAUUGUUCGAUGCGUCAUCGAGAUCCUUUUAAAAGAUAAUGUAUUAAUUACAUCGGACAUAUCAUGCCGUUCGAAAAUAAUGAAUGAGAAAAAUCGUUAUAUCAUUGACAAUUGACAAAUAGAAUGAUGAAUAAUAUUUUAUUCAGGGUCAGGAUUAUAUUAUAUUUAAAAUAAAUAAAGAUAUUGUCACUUAUUAAAUAAUAUGAAUGAUAUAAAAGAAAAAAGACGAUUAGAGUCUCGUGGCCCAAGAAAAGCACGGUUACGUGCCUGUCUCCUCCGCUGCGGGAAGAGAGCGCGCGGACGACGCAACAAUGCUGGCGAAGUCUAAAAAUAGUUUGAAUUUGGCGGUACCGCCGAGAGCGGCGCUGCCGGCACGGCGCGAAAGGCGACGGCGGUGGAGUGGGAGGUGCGAGCGGGUGCCGAGACUCGCGGUGCCUGCCAGUUCUCUCUCGGCUGUCGCGUAGUAAAGUGUUAUAACUUUUCGUCUCGGUUCUCGCGUCAUUUUCGUCAAGGUUUCUUUUUUUUUAUCCUUCUCCUACUGGUAUCAUUGUUCUCUUAGAGAGGCCACCGAUCUACGAUGAGUCUCUAUAUAUUCCCUUGUGAAUCGCGUGUGAUCAUGUGACAGAAAAAUCAUCGUGUGAGAAAAAGUAAGAAAAGAAAAGAAGAAAGAAAAAAAAGAGACGGACAGACAGAUAGAGGGAGAGAGAGAGAGAGAGAGAGAGAGAGAGAGAGCGAGAGACAGACAGAAAGAGAGAGAGAGAGAGCACAUAUAGACACAUAUACACGUACACGCAUACACAUACAACGCAGAAGAAGAGCGUCGUGGCAGCUUCCGCAUCGCUAAGGAGAACUCGGGACCCACAUCAGCUAGUAUUCUUUGCCAACCCUAUUUCACGAAGCUUCUUUAACAUUCUUCGUCUUUCGAGGUUUAUCAUCGAUACUUUCUUGGAUUGUUUUCGUCCGUUGGAACAUCGCACAUUCUUUUUCCAAAGAACGUUCCUAAGAGAAAAGGAAUUUCAAAGAAAGAAACGAACGAACGAACGAACAUCGAAGGAAGAAUCAACGAGAAGAAUUGGGAUGAUCGUGAGGAAUAAAUCACAAACGGAGGAUCAACUAUUGUCAUCAUGGAAAAUCGCAGGAUCCUAGCGAGAAAAAUCUAUGAAGAGUAGUAUAAUAAAGAAUACUACAUAACACGUGUUAUACAUUCUUCGUAUAGUGUCGGAAAAUAGUUUCGUCCUUUUAUCGUAUUUCAAUUUAAAUUUGUCGGGUGGAAUUGAUUGAUCGAUCAAUCGAUCGAUUGAUGAUCGAUCGAUCGUUAUUGUGAGUUAAAUUUUUGUUGACGGGCGUAUAUCGUGACCGAGGAGUACGACCAACACAACGAACAUACGUGCGUGCGUUCGUACGUACGUACGUACGUUUGUUUGUUUGUUUGUUUGUUUGUUGUUUGUUUGUUUGUUUGUUUGUUUGUUGAAG